rnacentral:rRNA from 1 species
UACGUAGGGGGCAAGCGUUGUCCGGAGUUACUGGGCGUAAAGCGCACGCAGGCGGUCUUUUAAGUUUGGAGUGACAGUUGGUGGCUUAACUGCCAAAGUGCUUCGAAAACUGAGAGACUUGAGGGCUUCAGAGGGACACGGAAUUCCGGGUGGAGUGGUGAAAUGCGUAGAGAUCCGGAGGAACACCAAAGGCGAAGGCAGUGUCCUGGGGAGUACCUGACGCUCAGGUGCGAAAGCGUGGGGAGCAAACAGG